GCUAGAUAGUAGAAUUUUUAAAAAUUCAGUAGCUGUGUGGCUGUUAACCACAAGGUCGAAGGUUCAAGCCCUUCUUCUAGCG
rnacentral:tRNA from 1 species